rnacentral:rRNA from 1 species
AUGUUUAGAGCAAUGGCGCACGAUCUUCCUCUGAGGGGUAAGAUGGGCGCUGCCGCGGUGGCCAUCUCGUCGGGCGUCGGCCUCGCUCGCUUCUCCAGGGCCCCGAGUUCCCAGAGGCUGGCCGGGAAGGUGGCCGUCAUCACCGGCGCCGCCAGCGGCAUGGGCAAGGCGACCGCCGCGGAGUUCGUCAGGAACGGCGCCAAGGUCAUCCUCACCGACAUCCAGGACGACCUCGGCCGCGCAGUCGCCGCCGAGCUUGGCCCCGACGCCUCCUACGCGGCUACGCCCGCUGCGACGUGA